CAGCCGCCGCGGGAACACCAGCAGCCCAAGUGGUGGUCGCGUUUAUUGGGCCUAAAGCGCUCGUAGCCUGGCCGGUAAGUUCCCCGUGAAAUCGGGUCGCCCAACGAUUCGGCUUGCGGGGAAUACUGUCGGUCUUGGGGCCGGGAGACGCCGAGGGUACUCCGGGGGUAGCGGUGAAAUGCUGUAAUCCUCGGGGGACUACCAGUGGCGAAGGCGCUCGGCGAUAACGGGCCUGACGGUGAGGGGCGAAAGCUGGGGGCGCGAACGGGAUUAGAGACCCCUGUAGUCCCUGUCUCUUAUA
rnacentral:rRNA from 1 species